rnacentral:lncRNA from 1 species
CUCAAAGAAAAGGGAAAAGCUUGUUCUUUGCGUCACAAUGUAAGGAAUAGUCUGGAAACGAUGUCCUUAUACUGAGAUCAUAAGUUCCAAAACUAUGCCGCUGCAUUUGUGUGGUUUUGGAAAUCUGCUUCUUGGUCCUCUUCAGUACAUAAUGGAGGUAAAGUGGAUUGGCAUGAAGACUGUGGAUUUGGGCAGUCCAGUCAAGGCAGACAAUCACAAAGGGGAAGCAGAGGCCAUGUGAAGUUGCAGGGUCAAACAGUCUCAGGAUAUGGUCUGCAUGUUAGCACUGAGUCAUCCCCGGGGAUCCAGAAGAAUUCAUUUGGAGAAGAAAGCAGAAGAAGCUGCCCUGAGCCACCGCAAGUGAUCAAUCACAAUUACACUAGCAAGGAUGAACACUUAAGAGCCUGGUGCAAACCCCUGUGCUGCUGAAUGCUUCGACGAUGGUAUGCAAGAAAACAGGAAGUUUCAGGAGUCAGUCCUCCUGAGAUGGAGCCCCCAGCACAAGAAAUAAGUGGUCCUGUUGGAGAGAGUCUGGAGGAGGCCAUGAGGAUGCUCAGAAAGCUUAAGCACCUCUUCUUUGAAGGCUGAGGGAGCUGGACUUGUUCAGGUUGGGGAAGAGAAGUCUCUGUGGACACCUCAUUGUGGCCUUUCAGUGCUGAAAGAGAGCUUACAAGAAAGAUGGAGAGC